ensembl:snRNA RNU6-1157P RNA, U6 small nuclear 1157, pseudogene
GUGUUUGCUUUGGCAGCACAGGUACUAAAAUUGGAACCAUACAGAGAAGAUUAGCAUGGGCCCUGUGCAAGGCUGACAUGUAAGUUAUGAAACAUUUCAUAUUUAU